AGGGGCAGCUGAACCAGAAUCACCAAAUUACAGAGUUCUAGACACCCAGGGUCCUAGUCAGGAUAUCACGUCUCAUUUAUUUGUGAUGUCUUUAUGGUUUCCUCUGAUCUGUGACAUCAGAUACAACAGACACUUCUGAAGAGUCCAGUGCCCCACCUGGAUGGACCUGGUCAUACCUCUACCUCAAGGCUAAUGCUGAAGUUGUUUGAUUUGGCUGUUAAAGAUUGAGUAGAAUUUUAAAAGAUGGAACGUAGAAGUAGAAGAAUUAAUUCCAGAAAUUGAAAGUAGCAAAACAAAGGUGCAAACUCAUAAAAAAAAAGAUCAAGGCAAAUUUUGGCAU
rnacentral:lncRNA from 1 species